UACGUAGGGGGGCAAGCGUUGUCCGGAAUCAUUGGGCGUAAAGAGCGUGUAGGCGGCUCGAUAAGUCUGCUGUGAAAGUCCAGGGCUCAACCCUGGAAGGCCGGUGGAAACUGCGCGGCUCGAGUGCCGGAGGGGAGAGUGGAAUUCCUGGUGUAGCGGUGGAAUGCGCAGAUAUCAGGAGGAACACCGGUGGCGAAGGCGGGUCUCUGGGCAGUAACUGACGCUGAGGAGCGAAAGCGUGGGGAGCGAACAGG
rnacentral:rRNA from 1 species